rnacentral:lncRNA from 1 species
CAUUAAUACAAGCACCAAAGUGUAUUAACCCAUACACAAAAAUAUCUAUAUGUCGAGCUUUAAUACCAUAUUGUAUUCAGCAAGCUGAAUCAGGGAAGAGAAAAUUUUUGUGUUUUAUAUCAUAUGAUUGGAUUUUGCAUGUAUGUAAAUAUAUGGUUUUCCAUAAUAGAGAGGGAACUAGUUAUGCAUGAAUACAAAUAAUAAAAUAUGCACUAAACAAGAGGUUACAAUUAAAUGAAUAUCUAUAAAAUAACAAAGGGAAGCAAAUCUCGGCUGUCAAUAUUUUGCUCCAGAGCUCCUUUUUUCUUCUUCGAUGUCAACAUAGUUGGCAGAAUUUCCAUGUUUCAGCAGUGGAUGUGUUUUUUUGUGUGGAUAUUUUGUGUCUUUGAGCUUUCUGCUUCUGUUGACAGUAUAAAAUUUACUCUGAAAGCAAAGUUCUUGUCAUUAACAAAGAACCAUCUAAUAUGAGCCAAAAUUUUUUGAACCAGCCAACAUCUUUGACAUGAAAAAUGUGGGAGUUGCAGCUCCAACAUUGCAAGAGUGGUCUGAGGCUGAACCAUGAUCUCAAACAACUAGAUCAUGAGCAACACUGCAUGAAGUUGCUUGUUAUAAUGGUAAUAUAAAGUAUUUAUUUUAUUUUUCUUUUUUUGGUUGGAGUUAUGGGUGCUGUGAAAGUAAAGAUAAUCACUUGUGAUAAUUGAUUAGGGGCCUCCACCUUAGAAGCAAAGCUGUAGUUGAUAUGAACAUUACCAUUUUCUCAUUUAUCUUAUGAUGUGUACUGGCCUGGAACGUAAAAGAAAAUAAUUAUAAAUUGAAUGCAGAAGCAAAAUAAUAGAGUUAGGGUUUACAUUUUUUACACUAAUUUAGAAUAUCCAAUAGGGUUACGAGAAUAACUUUUCUAAAAGAACAAGCGAAAAAUUAAAGAAAUAAAUGAACAAUAAACAAUUAAGUAUCGUAUGACGACCUUUACUAGAUUUUGAAGGGAAGUUCAAAUAGUGAACUAUUCACAAUCUCCUUGUUGAUCGGGAUCUAGAUCUUCGCUUUCUUAAUCUAAAAUGGUUAAUAAAAGGGUGAGUUAUACUAUUCCAGUAAGAAUAUCACACUACUCACCGAUACAGAAAUGACAGUUGGUAAAAAUCAUAAAAACAAUUAAUAGAUCUCUUAAAUUAAGUAAAUUCAUUUAUUAUAAAUAAAAUCAUUUAUUGCAUACCUAUCAUUGCAAGAUUUCUAAAACUGACCUAUACAGACAAUAACACAAACAAUCAUAAUCUCAUAUUCAAGUGAGUAAAACAACUUUUCAUUUUUAUUUGUUUAUUGGUAUUCCUGGGAGUCCAUAGGGAUGUCCCACUACGCAUGAACUCAUAUCAAAACUUGUCAACUAACCGUUCGUCCCCAUAUCCCGUCCAGUAUGAGUGCCAAAAAUACUAUCUCUCAAUAUUUUGUCCAGUAUGAGAGUGAAAUAGGCCGUUCCCAUACCCCCUUCCGGUAUGAGCGUCAAAAAUAUCAUCCAUCAAUACCCCGUCUGGUAUGAAGAUGAAUUGGGCUAUUCUCAUACCCCGUCCAGUAUGAGCGUCAAAAUACCAUUCAUCAAUAUUUCAUUCGGUAUGAGACAACAUUUACGGUAGAAUUCCUUAUGUACAUAGUCCGUCCACCAUCUCCUAUGAUAUUUAGUAAGACAAUCAUUCACUCAUUCACUUAACUAAUCAAUUUUCUGUUUACAUUUUAAUUUUCACAAUUUAAUUGUAAAUUACGCAGGACAAGUAAUACAUGCAUCAAGAAAACACAACUGAAUCAUGUUUACUAAUUCCAAUCUAUUAUCAUGCAUUUAGAAUUGUAAAAUCAAACAAUCAGUUAAAACAGGACAAACAGUAAUAUAUAAGUAGUUCCGGCUCUAUUAGUAAUCUGUAAUUAAUUCUCGAAGUUUUCUAAUUUACAUAAAAUACUGUAUUAUUUAUAAUCAGACUUCAAUUCCAUAACAGAGAAUAAGGUAAGAGAUUUUUACCCGAAUCGGUGCCCGAAAUACAAAACUUUUACUGCGCUUACUGGCGAUCUCCGAAUUUUCUGAAUUUUUCUGCGAAAAUUGAAACACGAUUUACAUACCUAAAAAUACUCUAAAAAUUCAAAAUCGGUGUUAAAACCCUUUUUCCGGCCAAUUUCGGGAUUACGACAUAGCGGCACCACCGUGCUCCAGCGACUGCACCACCGUCCGGCGGUUUGCCUACGCUUAGCCAUUUUAGCCGGGUUUAUAUCCAUCCCUACGAGAAACAUAUU